CUGGAGAUUGUUUCUGCUGGCAGGAAGAGUCUUCAGCACCCAGUUACCUGGGAGAUGUAGGAACUGAGGGUCUAAAAGGGACAGCAUUCUCUUUCCCAUGACGUGGAGGAGAAGGCUUAUGGGGAGUGGAAGGGGCAGAGACAUGGGAAUGAGCGGAGAGACACUUGGCAUGAAACUGAAGACCAAUGAGCAACUGAGGAGUGGAGACUGGACGGGGAGACUGAUGAGGGGUGAGAGGAUUGCUGUUGACCCAUGGCUUCACUAGAAGAGAAAGUAAACUGUGUUUGUUGUGGCUGAACUAAAAUCUACUAUCAAGUCCAAAGUCCACCAUUUUCUUGACCUUCACAUUUGCCAGAUUUGACUCCAUUGGAUUUCUUUUUAUGGAGACAUGUGAAAACUAAUGUUUAUUCAACCAAACCUCGAUCUAAAGAAGACUUGCAAGCUAGGAUAACUGAUGUGAUUGCCAGUAUUACUGAAAAUCAGCUUGAAAAUGUUUUCCAUGAACUACAGAAUCGUAUUACCCUUUGUAUUACUAAUGAUGGUGGCCAUGUUGAAAAUUAACAAGAACAAUAAAAAAAUUAAGUGUU